rnacentral:rRNA from 1 species
CCUACGGGAGGCAGCAGUGAGGAAUAUUGGUCAAUGGACGAGAGUCUGAACCAGCCAAGUAGCGUGAAGGAUGACUGCCCUAUGGGUUGUAAACUUCUUUUAUCAAGGAAUAAAACGAGGCACGUGUGCCUUUUUGCAUGUACUUUAUGAAUAAGGAUCGGCUAACUCCGUGCCAGCAGCCGCGGUAAUACGGAGGAUCCGAGCGUUAUCCGGAUUUAUUGGGUUUAAUGGGAGCGUAGAUGGGUUGUUAAGUCAGUGGUGAAAGUUUGCGGCUCAACCGUAAAAUUGCAAUUGAUACUGGCAGUCUUGAGUACAGUUGAGGUAGGCGGAAUGCGUGGUGUAGCGGUGAAAUGCUUAGAUAUCACGAAGAACCCCGAUUGCGAAGGCAGCUUACGAAACUGUGACUGACAUUGAUGCUCGAAAGUGUGGGUAUCAAACAGGAUUAGAUACCCCAGUAGUC